UCGGAGGAGGCUUGGAGAGGCUGGCGUCUACGGGGUACAGGAACUGGCGCUGGCUGGGGGGCAGGCAGCCCAGGCUAGCCCGUCUGAUACACUAGGGCACUGAACCCCAGCAUCUCGAAAAUGUGCUGAAGGAUGCUGCCCAAGGAGACCAUCGCCUGAGACCCCAUCAUGCAGGCCUUCCCGCAAGGGCCCGGCAGCUGGACAAGGUGAAAGCAGAGUAUGCUCGGCUUAAACACACGCUCACCAUAGUGACCAGAGAACGCGAUUUGGC